rnacentral:tRNA from 1 species
UCCCGGCUGGCACAAUUGGCUAGCGCGUGAGACUUUUAAUCUCAAGGUUGAGGUGUGUUCCCAUCAAGAGUUUGAUGCUGUUAUACGCCAUACUGAUUAUUAUAUAGAGUUCGAGCCUCUCGUCGGGAG